CUAUUCUCAGACAUGGCCAAUGUUUUGAUUUGUUUUGCUGUACCAUAUAUAUUCCUUAUAAGAGAUGGCUUCUGGGGAGGUGUCAGAACACCAAGAAGCUACUCUGGUCUUUAUCUUAUCUUUGAGCACUUCCUGCUGGCUGAAGGAACAAAUAGCAGCAUCUCUGUUUCAAGACCUGGCAAGUCUGAAAGUCUUAUCAAGGUCAAAGGCAGAGAGGAGCACUUUUACUUAAGAGGGAGUGGAAGCUCCGAGGGACAGUAUCAUUUCUGGUGCCAAGGGAGGAGAAGACCAGAAGAGCAGUAUCAAUUGCAAUCCUAAAGGACCAGGGGCCAUUCUUGGGUAAGGGCCAGAGUGAAGACCAAGAGAAUAACCACAAUUCUCUCCAUAUGACAUCAUCUUGGAAGCACUGAAAACUUUAAAACCCCCAGAACUAGUUUUGAAAACAGUAGUGUGAAAAAGCUUGAAGCUUGAGAUAGUGCCCUUCUUUCCCCAUUCCCACACUUGGAACAGAGCCCAAUAUUAACAUAAAGUUCCAAAUCAAGAAAUAGUGUGGAAUAUGAGUGGCGUAUAUAACA